UCGCCAAAUUUGUCGUCCUUUAAAACCCAGAAUAUAGGGGAUAAGGGUUAGAUUUACACCAGGAAAGAAGAAUUGUACGAGACUAAGAGUAUUCCAGAGCAAGAAUUGGACAACAUGAAGAACUCGAAGUAGAUCUAGAUUUCAAUUUACCAGACAGUCACACUGGUCUACAUACUACAGUACAGUCCCACACAGCCACUCAUGUGUGGGAAAAUAUCGGUCUGCAGAAAACGACCAACUUUGCUUUGCUGCUGGAGCUAUACUUUAAGGUCAACAUUUUCUCCAGGAGGGUAUCUUCGGCUGCGGGAAAGUCAUCAACAUGGACUGUUCCAGUGAACAUGCAGUCUUGAUUUGUAAGACUAAACUGUCCAACAAACUUCACGGAAAUUAUGCAAGACAUGGGUGAGAGUUUGAGAAUUCAUCUGUAUGGGAUCCCUAUAGAGGAGAGCUUUUCAAAAUUAUACCAGUUAUGCUGACCAGCAAACAUUCAGCAAGUACAUCCAGUACAAUCGACCCUGUCACCUUUGUUCGGUCGGAAGGAAUCUGAGAAAGUAAUCUUCAAUACACAGCUUUUUUUCGAGCAAAACUUUUAAAUUUGCCGCACAGAUGUGACGUAUACGCCUCUGUCUGUGUUGUGAGGACCCUACGUCACAAAAAAUGUCGCGCAAUGCAUUGUGAGAGGAACCGGCUCGAUCAUUCACUUGUUUUUUGCUCAUUAAAGCCUUACUGCACUCCUUUUAGCUACUUGCUC
rnacentral:lncRNA from 1 species